rfam:Thermoanaerobaculum aquaticum strain MP-01 contig_20, whole genome shotgun sequence.
UCCGGUGGCCAUACCGAGGGGGAAACACCCGUUCCCAUUCCGAACACGGAAGUUAAGCCCCUCAGGGCCGAUGGUACUGCGCUGGAAACGGCGUGGGAGAGUAGGUCGCUGCCGGGA